CUCGCCGAGUGGGUCUGGGAGUUUGGAGACGGCAGUGGGGGCGGAAGCUGCUGGGGCCGUCCCGAAGCCUUCCAAGGGGCGGAUGCCGUCGGGGGCGGAAGCUCCUGUCGCCAUUCAGUCUCCUGUAUUUGACCCGGCUGGCCAGGUUGGGGCGGGUUUGGUGACGGAGGAUCUCAGGCUUGCCCUUCGCUUGAAGGAGGUGGAGUUGGCGGCUAAGGCUAAGGAAGUCGAGCUCAUGCAUCUCCGCAUUCGAGCUAUGGAGCUUGAUCGUUCUCGAGCGAGUGACGCUGCUCCCGUUCCUGUAAGUACACUCCCCGACACUCCCACCAUAGACCAGUUUAACGCUAGCAAACAGAUUGUUUUGGUACCUCCUUUUAGGGAAGGAGAGGUUGACUCAUAUUUCACUGCUUUUGAGCGCAUCGCAACCACUUUAAAAUGGCCAAAGGACGUCUGGAGUCUGUUGCUGCAAUGCAAAUUAAUAGGAAGAGCGCAGGAGGUCUGUGCGAGUCUUUCUGUUGCGGACAGCUUGGAUUAUGAGGUUGUCAAAUCCACUAUUUUGCGGGCUUAUGAACUUGUCCCAGGGGCGUAUCGACAGAAGUUUCGUGCCUGUCGCAAGCUUGAUAGUCAAACGUUUGUGGAAUUUGCACGUGAGAAAACUGUCUUAUUUGACAAGUGGGUGGCUGCCAGUCACGCGGAGGACUUAACUCAGCUAAAGGAGUUGAUCCUGCUGGAAGAGUUCAAGACAUGUCUCCCUGAAAACAUUGUCGUGUAUCUUAAUGAGCAGAAGGUUGGGUUACUGUCUAAAGCCGCGGUCCUUGCCGACGAGUUUGUGUUAACUUAAAGAGAGAGAGAGAGAGUGUGGAGCCAUCGCAGUCCUGACCCUGGUUUUCCCAGCCUGUGUUUAUCUUGUGUAUUUGUGGGAGUGUGAAUUGUAAAAGCCGCUCCUAGUGCAUUAGCUGAGAGCUUAGGCACUCGUGGGCUGAAGCGGAAGGGGUGAGCUGCCUUUUCUUUUGGAAUCGUUUUCUCCUGUUUUCUUGGUCAGGGAGCGAGGGAUAGCUCUGGCAUUUGUUUGUUCUUUUUUCUUUCUUAGGGUUUAGUUAGUCUUUUCUGGUCGGACUUAGUUGGUUUUGUUUAUUAUUUUGGCCUGGGCUCACCCUGGAGCUAUGCUUCUUGUCCUUAAAUAAAAUCACUUUUUUUUACUCACAACUGGUUUGGAUGUUUGGCUUGGGAACCAGGGCGGGGAUUUGUCUCUCUCUCCUCCAACCUUAUGUGCGUCCCUACCCACCUAGACUAGGGGCGUAACAGAGAGUGAUGAGCUGCAGUCUGCUCAGCAGUGAGAACAGAAGAUGUCAGCUGAUACGGAUGAAUAUCACCAAAGAGAAGAGAGGCUGAAAGAGUUUCUACCAGAGCCAAAUGUCAUCGACUCCUCACUGAAGUCGUCCACCAGUCCAACCACUGGGAUCCAGCUGCUGCUCUCUAACUGGUCCACACAGCAGCUCAGACCUGACACAUUUACUGUAAACACACUGGUUUAUAUUCUGUUUGUUCUCCUCAUGAAAGAAACCUCACACAACCUCUGAGGGCAGAAAUUCAAAUGGAGAGUUUUUGUUAUUUUCUUUUAUAAAGAAGCUGGAAAAAUUUAACUUUCUUAAUUUAGUUUUUAAAUUUUUUAUAUAAAAAAGAAAAAUUUUCUUCAUCAGGCCUUUCAGAAUAAAAGCAUGACCAAGACGUAAUUUAUACAUAAACAAUAAUAAAUGUUAUGUAGCUAAAUUGUAGAUGUAAUCCAUGUUUUCAUGUCUUCAGUAACUUUGCUGUUAUUUAUGUUAUUUCUAAGUGUGCUGUCGUCUCCACAGCAGUGAUCUGGUUUCUCUGCAGGUUCAAUAAACUUUGGUCUCACUUGAUCUUCUCGUGUGCUUCUGUGGGUUUCACAAAGAUGUCUGAUGGAAAACGUGAGUCGUUUUCUUUUCCUGGUGGGAACAUAGAACCAGUCCUAGAUUGGUCACUGACUCUGUAAAUACUGAGGUACGACCAUGAACACAGCUGUCUGAGCC
ensembl:lncRNA